GAUUUAAGUGUACUUUUGGAGUGUCCACUAGGGGGAGAUCUAAGGUUGCAGGUUGUGGCUGAUGUGACGUGUGCUGUGCGUCACAGCCAAUACAGACUGACGCAGAGACGACAGCAUGAGUUCGUGUCUUCAUUUAUUAAUUUCUAUUUUCCCCGUUUAUCAGGGUGUAACAAUGGCAUCAAGGAUCCAGGAUCUAGAGAUCAUUCUUCAUGGAGACUGUUCCACAGGAAGCAGUUUAUCCUGGGUGAAAAACUAAACCUGGUUGUUUCAGCAUCACUCAGGCAAGAUUUGAGGGAAAGAUUAAAAACAAGGAGGUCUGGGAAUGACUGAAGGGAACUGACAGCAGUGAGGGAAGGAAGUAAUCACCAGAUUGUAAUUUCUUUGAGAAUGUGUGCAUUGUUUAUUACAAGUUGAGUUUUCAUUUAAAUGUAGCAAUGUACACAGUUGGUCAAAAGGUUUAAAUAUAUUUUAAAAGUGUAAUUUAUUUCUGUGAUGCUCCGCUAUAUUUUCAGCAUCAUUCCUCCAGUCUUCAGUGUCACAUGAUCUUCAGAAAUCAUGAUAAUAUGAUGAUUUACUGCUCAAGAAACAUUUCUGAUUAUUAUCAGCGCUGAAAACAGUUGUGCUGCCCAAAACUUUUGUCUAAACUACAGUUACAUUUAUUUUUUUAUUUAUUUUUUUAUGGGGGCUAAUAGCAAGAAUGCAUAAAAUUGAAUACCAGUGGUAGAGAAGACUUUUGUAAUUUUACAAUAUUACUUUUUUUUUUUUUUAAUUUUGAGACUUCUCUUGAAAGCCAUAAAGAAAAGAUUCCAGAUUUUGACUGGUUGUGAACAUACAUGAGCAACAUUAACAAGAUGAUCCUCCCUUUCAGCUCAGAGAAGGAUGUUGACAGCAGGCCCAGGAUGAAGAAGAGGAGGAAGAACACAUUUAACAAUUUACUCAUAAACUUUCCAUGUGUUAUAAUAAAAACAAUGAACAUGACUACAGUAAAAUGCUAAAUGUUAUUAAAAGAUUCCAGUUUGCAAGAAAUCUGAGUGUCUGCCUCUACACUAGAGGAACUCUUUCCUGAAGAAGAUCAGGUGCUGAGAAGGAGCCUUGUUCUACAGCAAAACACUGCAUCAAGCCUCCUGUCCUUCCCUCAGAAGAGCCUGUCUUCUGCUGCUGGGGUAAGAAACACACUCUUCCUCUUCUCUAUCAGCUGUCCUGCACCUAUCUCUGUCUGAAAGAGUCUUCUCCACAGUCAGUAAUCAGAGACUCUGUUGAUUCAGAUCGACACUUCAGAGCCUGUUUGUGAUUUUUUUAUUCAGAUCUGGACAUCAGAGCAAGAAGUUUUUGUCAAACAGUUCAUUGUUGAUAAAUGAAUAUUUGACCUGAGGCCUUUUUUUUAACCUGUCGAUUUGAUUCUUAAAUGAUUUCAAGACUUUUGGAUGUCAAUACUUCUUGUACCUCAGUUGCUUGUGUUGUGUUUUAUGAAUUGUGGAUGGAUUUAUCAACUGGGAAAUAAAGUUGAACAGAAAUGAUCAUGAACUCUUAAAGAUGAUGAUGAAAAGAAAAGGUAAUAUUGCAAAUAAAAUUAUAUCUAUCUAAGUAUGAACUAACUUGUGCAAUACAGUAAAUAUUCUUAAGGCGGUCGCACACCGGACGAGAAGCGCCGCGUUGCGUCGCGCCACAUGUAGGACAACUCGAGGCAUCGCACACCGGAAGCGCACAUUCUAUAUGCGCGAGCUCAAUUUCGCAGCAAGAUGUGUGAGUUUUAGCUUCAUCUAUUAUUAUUAUUUUAAAUAUAUGAUUUUAAUUGAUAAAAGCUUAAUUGACAGGCAAAUGUUCCACAGGCCAAUACUUUAAUAUUUCGCGUAUGUAAAAAUGUCUCAAGAGAAAAAUAAAAUAUUAAAAGCACUACGUUUAUUAUACAUUUAAUUGUAUAUGUUUACAUUUUAAUUAAGCUGUACAACUAAUAUAAGUAGUAUUUUGCAGCAGUGGUAUCUUGGUGUAAUGUAUGAACAACGAUUUGUAACAAAUAUGAUGUUUUUUUUUUUUAUAUAAAACUAUGCAGAUGGCGCUCUGUGGCGCGGCAGAAAUUUGAACAGCGUUCCGAGUCGUAGCUGGGCACCGCGGACAGACGCCGAAUGGCGCCGCCGGUGUGUGUACACUCAUAGAGAAUAAUGUGGUCGAAACUGCAUUUAUUAAAAAGUGUUUUUUUUUGCACUAAAAAUCUUUUAUCUGCACUGAUGUUCACUUCAUUGAAUUUGGACUCUAUCUGUCAUUUGCCUUGCGCUGCUUUAUUUAACUAUUUUUAAUAUUUUAUAUGCCUUUUUUACAUUCCCUUAUUGUAUAUUUGUAUCUACAUUUUAUAUUUGAAAUAGAUUUUUAGGAUUUAAUGUUAAUGUUAUCUGUGUGCACCGGGGUCUAAGUGUAAUGCAAUUUCGAUUCUCUGUAUGUAUGUACUGUACAUGUGGAAAUUGACAAUAAAGCAGACUUGACUUGA